rnacentral:misc_RNA from 1 species
AGCUCUUGUGGGUGAAGGAAAAUCUCCAAGAAUCCUGGUCGAUGGCAUUUAGAUGGAUGGAUCUAAGUGAUUGGUUAACAUACAAAGCAACAGGAGAUGACACGAGGAGUUUAUGCACCACUGUAUGCAAAUGGACAUAUCUAGGCCAUGCGCACAUGCAGCAGAUAAAUGAGAAAGAUUCCGGUGCUAUGGAAUCUUGUGGAUGGGAUGAUGGAUUCUGGGAGGAGAUUGGUUUAGGUGAUCUUGUUGAUGGGCAUCAUGCUAAGAUAGGGCGAAGUGUAGCAUUCCCCGGUCAUGCAUUGGGUUCGGGUUUAACACCACAUGCUGCAAAGGAAUUGGGUCUGAUGGCAGGGACACCAGUAGGUACUGCUCUGAUAGAUGCUCAUGCUGGCGGUGUAGGUGUAAUGGAAAGUGUGCCUGCAUCAGAUUCUGAAUCUAUAGUUGAUGAGGAUGCUAUAAGUAGGCGUAUGGUGCUUGUAUGUGGUACUUCCACAUGCCAUAUGGCUGUAUCCAGGACAAAAUUAUUCAUACCUGGAGUCUGGGGACCUUUUUGGUCAGCGAUGGUGCCCGAGUACUGGCUUACUGAAGGAGGACAGAGUGCUACUGGUUCAUUGCUAGACCAUAUAAUUGAGAAUCAUGUUGCAUCUCCUCAUCUUGCAAAUCGUGCUGCAUCUCGAAGAAUCUCAAUAUUUGAUUUGUUGAAUGAGAUACUGGAAUCAAUGAAGAAAGAUGAGGACUCACCAUUUAUAGCUGCAUUGACUAGUGAUAUGCAUAUUCUCCCAGAUUUUCAUGGUAACAGGUCCCCUAUUGCAGAUCCAAAGUCAAAAGGUAUGAUUUCUGGUUUAACACUUGAUACUAGUGAAAAGCAGCUGGCACUUCUCUACCUUGCCACAGUACAGGGCAUUGCAUAUGGAACCCGCCAUAUAGUAGAGCACUGCAAUACUAAUGGACACAAGAUUGACACACUACUUGCCUGUGGUGGGCUUGCAAAGAAUCGUCUAUUUGUUCAAGAGCAUGCAGAUAUUAUUGGUUACCCUAUCAUUCUCCCUCGCGAAAAUGAAUCUGUGCUAUUGGGGUCUGCUAUUCUUGGUGCUGUUGCUUCAAAGAAAUAUUCUACUGUUCGUGACGCCAUGAAGGCAAUGAAUGCAGCUGGUCAGGUUGUUCAUCCGUCUCAAGACAUGAAAGUGAAGAAGUACCACGAUGCCAAAUACAGCAUCUUCCGCGACCUUUAUGAGCAGCAACAGAAGCAUCGUUCACUUAUGGCCGAGGCUCUGUCAUGAGUUGUUUUCUUCAUUGUUGUCGCGCCUUUUGGUAUACAAGUUACUACAAACCAUGUCACCCAGGAACGAAGGAAAACGCGACACCAGUUCCUAGUCCCCCUCCUCUCCCUUUCUGCAUUUCUUUGAACCACAUUAUGUAGUGUAUAAAAUGUCAUUUGAAAAUGUUCACCUAUUCAACUAUUAUCACCUGUACAGUUGAAUUUUGUUUGACUUGUUCAUAUCAUAUGAACAAUUAUUACGUUGAUGGUGUGUAUAACUUAAACUCAUUUCACCUAUUUAACUAUUAUCACCUGUACAGUUGAAUUUUGUUUGACUUGUUCAUAUCAUAUGAACAAUUAUUACGUUGAUGGUGUGUAUAACUUAAACUCAUUUCACCUAUUU